AUACGUAGGGGGCGAGCGUUGUCCGGAAUGAUUGGGCGUAAAGGGCGCGUAGGCGGCCCGGUAAGUCUGGAGUGAAAGUCCUGUUUUUAAGAUGGGAAUUGCUUUGGAUACUGUCGGGCUUGAGUGCAGGAGAGGUAAGUGGAAUUCCCAGUGUAGCGGUGAAAUGCGUAGAGAUUGGGAGGAACACCAGUGGCGAAGGCGACUUACUGGACUGUAACUGACGCUGAGGCGCGAAAGUGUGGGGAGCAAACAGGAUUAGAUACCCUGGUAGUCCACACUGUAAACCAUGAAUGCUAGGUGUAGGGGGUAUCGACCCCUUCUGUGCCGCAGUCAACACAAUAAGCAUUCCGCCUGGGGAGUACGGCCGCAAGGUUGAAACUCAAAUGAAUUGACGGGG
rnacentral:rRNA from 1 species